AGCCACAGCCAUAUCACCCUGCAGCCCCAAGCCCAAGCAUACUCACUGAAGCUAUGCAGGGCUGAGCCUGGUUAGUACCUGAAUGGGAGAUGACACAUGAGAAAAUUAGGUUUCUGUAGGUA
ensembl:rRNA 5S_rRNA 5S ribosomal RNA